UACAGAGGUCUCAAGCGUUGUUCGGAUUCAUUGGGCGUAAAGGGUGCGUAGGUGGCGGGGCAAGUCAGGUGUGAAAUCUCGGGGCUCAACCCCGAAACUGCACUUGAUACUGCUUUGCUCGAGUACUGGAGAGGAGACUGGAAUUUACGGUGUAGCAGUGAAAUGCGUAGAUAUCGUAAGGAAGACCAGUGGCGAAGGCGAGUCUCUGGACAGUUACUGACACUGAGGCACGAAGGCCAGGGGAGCAAACGGA
rnacentral:rRNA from 1 species